ACAAAACAUCCUUCUGCAGAACCAAUUUCAGUCACUAAUUUCAUAACUUUUCUAACAAACUAACAAACUUUAACUAACUGUGUUAUAGCUCCUAACAGAUUUACACAGAGGUAGAUUAACGGAAGGUAACCAAUUUAACGGACUGAAAGUGUAUAUAAGCUAACACUGUGAUUCACUCUUGGAGGAUUUUUUCAUUUUCAGAACUCACACUCAACCAUCAUCGAACUUCAAUCCAAUUUCACCUUCAAUCUUAAAUAAUCUAAUCCGGAACUUACACAAUUUAUCACCACUCUCACAUCACCAUCUUCUUCUUCCUCUUGGAAAAAUCACAAUUCUGCAAUAACCACCAUAACAGAACCAACCUGAUAAUAGAAAUCAGAGGGAUAUCUUCAAGAACAGAACAAUAACACAAUUAGAGAAGAGAGCAAAUUGAAGAAGAAGAUAAAACGAAGAAGUGAGAGCUCGAGGUUAAUACACGCAUCAAGUAUACAAACAAGAAAAUCACAAUCGAUACCUAUUGUUGAUGCCGCGUCGAAACCGGUAAGUCUUCAUUCUGCUUGUUUCAAUCUGCAAUUUAUUUCGGUUCCGCAUCGACGCUGUUGCAUUUUCGAUAGCUGUUGUCUUGAAUUCGGAAGCUUGAACUGUUGAUUUGAGAUGAUCAUGGAGACGCAAUGUUGUUGACGAAUGCAAUCCAUACUCGAACAUGCAAAGAUGAAGCAAUUAAUU
rnacentral:lncRNA from 1 species